AAAGAUUUAGUAUAAAAAGGUGCAUCCAUGCAAUUUCGAUAUCAGUUCGAUUGGAAAAUUGGAACAAUGAAAUUCUUUGCCUUCAUCACUUUGUUCGUGUGCGCCAUGUUGGCUCUGGUCAGCGGUGGUGAAGUGUACUACAGACAGGUGCGCAGCCCAGUGCCUGUCGAGGACGCAGCGCCAGCACCAGGCCCCCACCACCACCACCACCACCACCACCAUUACGGAUAUGGCUACGGAUACCACUGAUAUGUUGAAAUGAUAUCACGAUUAUGAUUUUUUGAAUAUUUUUAGACCUGGAUUAACGUUAAUGCCUACCUAUGUACAUAUUAAAAUUUUUAAUUAUAUAUAGGUGGAUGUCUUAA